rnacentral:misc_RNA from 1 species
GAUGAAGAACGCAGCGAAAUGCGAUAAGUAGUGUGAAUUGCAGAAUUCAGUGAAUCAUCGAAUCUUUGAACGCACAUUGCGCCCCAUGGUAUUCCGUGGGGCAUGCCUGUUCGAGCGUCAUUUACCCCCUCAAGCUCCGCUUGGUGUUGGGCGUCUGUCCCGCUUCGCGCGCGGACUCGCCCCAAAGGUAUUGGCAGCGGUCGUGCCAGCUUCUCGCGCAGCACAUUGCGCUUCUCGAGGCACCGGUGGGCCCGCGUCCAUCAAGCUCACCCCCCCAGUUUGACCUCGGAUCAGGUAGGGAUACCCGCUGAACUUAAGCAUAUCAAUAAGCGGAAGA